rnacentral:lncRNA from 1 species
CCUUCACCACACCGACCAGCUUCCUUCUCACUAUUCCUCCUUCGAUCCACGUCGCCGAGCGUACUGCUGCUCCCUAGUCCUCUCCAUGGAUGCGACCCUCAGGCAACGCUGCACCAUCCUGGCAUUAACAGGUCGAGCAGCCCAUCCUCAACGGCGUUUUGUCCAUCGCCAGGCUCCCACAUGGAUUGAAUCGGUUGUAUCCGGGGUUACAUCGUCCGGCCAGAUAAUACACAUCUCAAUUGCAAAU